UCGGUACGGGCGGCGGCGCUGCCCGCCGGUGGCGCGCCGGCCCGGCGGUCCAGGUCGCCGCCGGCGAUCGCGGCGGCGGUGGCGGC
rnacentral:tRNA from 1 species